AGUGAACGCUGGCGGUAGGCCUAACACAUGCAAGUCGAACGGCAGCACAGGAGAGCUUGCUCUCUGGGUGGCGAGUGGCGGACGGGUGAGGAAUACAUCGGAAUCUACUCUGUCGUGGGGGAUAACGUAGGGAAACUUACGCUAAUACCGCAUACGACCUACGGGUGAAAGCAGGGGACCUUCGGGCCUUGCGCGAUUGAAUGAGCCGAUGUCGGAUUAGCUAGUUGGCGGGGUAAAGGCCCACCAAGGCGACGAUCCGUAGCUGGUCUGGGAGGAGGAGCAGCCACACUGGAACUGAGACACGGUCCAGCCUCCUACGGGAGGCAGCAGUGGGGAAUAUUAGGCAAUGGGCGCAAGCCUGAUCCAGCCAUACCGCGUGGGUGAAGAAGGCCUUCGGGUUGUAAAGCCCUUUUGUUGGGAAAGAAAUCCAGCUGGCUAAUACCCGGUUGGGAUGACGGUACCCAAAGAAUAAGCACCGGCUAACUUCGUGCCAGCCGCCGCCGUAA
rnacentral:rRNA from 1 species